rnacentral:rRNA from 1 species
CCCUUAGAUGUUCUGGGCCGCACGCGCGCUACACUGACGAAUGCAACGAGCUUAUAACCUUGGCCGAAAGGUCUGGGUAAUCUCCAAAUUUCGUCGUGAUGGGGAUAGAUUAUUGCAAUUAUUCAUCUUCAACGAGGAAUUCCUAGUAAACGCAAGUCAUCAGCUUGCAUUGAUUACGUCCCUGCCCUUUGUACACACCGCCCGUCGCACCUACCGAUUGAAUGGUCCGGUGAAAUUCUCGGACGACGCCAGGGAAUGUUAAUUCGGCACCUGGUGUUGAAAGUUAAUUAAACCUUACCAUUUAGAGGAAGGUGAAGUCGUAACA